rnacentral:rRNA from 2 species
AGACCCGAAACCCGGUGAUCUAGCCAUGGGCAGGUUGAAGGUUGGGUAACACUAACUGGAGGACCGAACCGACUAAUGUUGAAAAAUUAGCGGAUGACCUGUGGCUGGGGGUGAAAGGCCAAUCAAACCGGGAGAUAGCUGGUUCUCCCCGAAAGCUAUUUAGGUAGCGCCUCGUGAAUUCAUCUCCGGGGGUAGAGCACUGUUUCGGCUAGGGGGCCAUCCCGGCUUACCAACCCGAUGCAAACUGCGAAUACCGGAGAAUGUUAUCACGGGAGACACACGGCGGGUGCUAACGUCCGUCGUGAAGAGGGAAACAACCCAGACCGCCAGCUAAGGUCCCAAAGUCAUGGUUAAGUGGGAAACGAUGUGGGAAGGCCCAGACAGCCAGGAUGUUGGCUUAGAAGCAGCCAUCAUUUAAAGAAAGCGUAAUAGCUCACUGGUCGAGUCGGCCUGCGCGGAAGAUGUAACGGGGCUAAACCAUGCACCGAAGCUGCGGCAGCGAACGUAUCACCCAAGACAACUUUACGGAGUUGACGAUUGACGGAGCGAAGCGACGUCAAAGCGUUCAUUAAAGUCGAGUUGGCUUAGGGAUACGUUCGUUGGGUAGGGGAGCGUUCUGUAAGCCUGUGAAGGUGUGUCGUGAGGCAUGCUGGAGGUAUCAG